rnacentral:misc_RNA from 1 species
AGCAGCCGCGGUAAUUCCAGCUCCAAUAGCGUAUAUUAAAGUUGUUGCAGUUAAAAAGCUCGUAGUUGAAUUUCGGGGUUAGUAGGUUGGUCAUGCCUCUGGUAUGUACUGGUCUCACUGAUUCCUCCUUCCUGAUGAACCGUAAUGCCAUUAAUUUGGUGUUGCGGGGAAUUUGGACUGUUACUUUGAAAAAAUUAGAGUGUUUAAAGCAGGCUAACGCUUGAAUACAUUAGCAUGGAAUAAUGAAAUAGGACGUUCGAUCCUAUUUUGUUGGUUUCUAGGAUUGACGUAAUGAUUAAUAGGGAUAGUUGGGGGCAUUAGUAUUCAAUUGUCAGAGGUGAAAUUCUUGGAUUUAUUGAAGACUAACUACUGCGAAAGCAUUUGCCAAGGAUGUUUUCAUUAAUCAAGAACGAAAGUUAGGGGAUCGAAGACGAUCAGAUACCGUCGUAGUCUUAACCAUAAACUAUGCCGACUAGGGAUCGGAUGAUGUUAAUUUUUUAAUGACUCAUUCGGCGCCUUACG